UACAGAGGUCUCAAGCGUUGUUCGGAUUCAUUGGGCGUAAAGGGUGUGUAGGUGGCGCCGUAAGUCGGGUGUGAAAUUUCGGAGCUUAACUCCGAAACUGCAUUCGAUACUGCGGUGCUUGAGGACUGGAGAGGAGACUGGAAUUCAUGGUGUAGCAGUGAAAUGCGUAGAUAUCAAGCGGAACACCAGUGGCGAAGGCGAGUCCUGGACAACUCCUGACACUGAGGCACGAAAGCUAGGAGCAA
rnacentral:rRNA from 1 species